GAUGAACGCUAGCUACAGGCUUAACACAUGCAAGUCGAGGGGCAGCAUGACCUAGCACUCGGUUGAUGGCGACCGGCGCACGGGUGAGUAACACGUAUCCAACCUGCCGAUUAUUCCGGGAUAGCCUUUCGAAAGAAAGAUUAAUACUGGAUAGCAUAACGAGAAGGCAUCUUCUUGUUAUUAAAGAAUUUCGAUAAUCGAUGGGGAUGCGUUCCAUUAGUUUGUUGGCGGGGUAACGGCCCACCAAGACAUCGAUGGAUAGGGGUUCUGAGAGGAAGGUCCCCCACAUUGGAACUGAGACACGGUCCAAACUCCUACGGGAGGCAGCAGUGAGGAAUAUUGGUCAAUGGACGAGAGUCUGAACCAGCCAAGUAGCGUGAAGGAUGACUGCCCUAUGGGUGGUAAACUUCUUUUAUAUGGGAAUAAAGUGGGCCACGUGUGGCUUUUUGUAUGUACCAUACGAAUAAGGAUCGGCUAACUCCGUG
rnacentral:rRNA from 1 species